GACGAACGCUGGCGGCGUGCUUAACACAUGCAAGUCGAGCGGGAUCCAACCGGUGGCAACACCGGGGAAGAUCUAGCGGCGAACGGGUGAGUAACACGUGAGCAACCUGCCCCGAAGACUGGGAUAACACCGGGAAACCGGUGCUAAUACCGGAUGUCGUCAUUAGGCCGCAUGACCUGAUGAUGAAAGGAUUCAUCGCUUCGGGAGGGGCUCGCGGGCUAUCAGCUUGUUGGNGGGGUAACGGCCUACCAAGGCGACGACGGCUAGCUGGUCUGAGAGGACGACCAGCCACACUGGGACUGAGACACGGCCCAGACUCCUACGGGAGGCAGCAGUGGGGAAUCUUGCGCAAUGGGCGAAAGCCUGACGCAGCAACGCCGCGU
rnacentral:rRNA from 1 species